rnacentral:rRNA from 1 species
UUUAUGGAGAGUUUGAUCCUGGCUCAGAGUGAACGCUGGCGGCGUGCCUAAUACAUGCAAGUCGAACGAUGAAGCUUCUAGCUUGCUAGAAGUGGAUUAGUGGCGCACGGGUGAGUAAGGUAUAGUUAAUCUGCCCUACACAAGAGGACAACAGUUGGAAACGACUGCUAAUACUCUAUACUCCUGCUUAACACAAGUUGAGUAGGGAAAGUUUUUCGGUGUAGGAUGAGACUAUAUAGUAUCAGCUAGUUGGUAAGGUAAUGGCUUACCAAGGCUAUGACGCUUAACUGGUCUGAGAGGAUGAUCAGUCACACUGGAACUGAGACACGGUCCAGACUCCUACGGGAGGCAGCAGUAGGGAAUAUUGCGCAAUGGGGGAAACCCUGACGCAGCAACGCCGCGUGGAGGAUGACACUUUUCGGAGCGUAAACUCCUUUUCUUAGGGAAGAAUUCUGACGGUACCUAAGGAAUAAGCACCGGCUAAGCAACGUGGGAGAGAUUUUGGAAUGAUGCUUAGAAGUUU